rnacentral:rRNA from 1 species
GACGGAGGGGGCAAGCGUUGUCCGGACUCACUGGGCGUAAAGGGUGCGUAGGCGGUUUGGUGCGUCGGCGCUGAAAGUCCGUGGGCUUAACCCACGGGCGCGUGCCGAUACGACCUGACUUGAGGCUCGGAGAGGGUGGGAGAACUCCUGGUGUAGUGGUGAAAUGCGUAGAGAUCAGGAAGAAUACCUGUCGGCGCAAGC